AUUGAACGCUGGCGGAAUGCUUUACACAUGCAAGUCGAACGGCAGCAUAGGUGCUUGCACCUGAUGGCGAGUGGCGAACGGGUGAGUAAUACAUCGGAACGUGCCCAGUCGUGGGGGAUAACGUAGCGAAAGUUACGCUAAUACCGCAUACGAUCUAAGGAUGAAAGCGGGGGACCGUAAGGCCUUGCGCGAUUGGAGCGGUCGAUGUCAGAUUAGGUAGUUGGUGAGGUAAAGGCUCACCAAGCCGACGAUCUGUAGCUGGUCUGAGAGGACGACCAGCCACACUGGGACUUAGACACGGCCCAGACUCCUACGGGAGGCAGCAGUGGGGAAUUUUGGACAAUGGACGCAAGUCUGAUCCAGCCAUUCCGCGUGCAGGACGAAGGCCUUCGGGUUGUAAACUGCUUUUGUACGGAACGAAAAAGCUCUUACUAAUACUAGGAGUCCAUGACGGUACCGUAAGAAUAAGCACCGGCUAACUACGUGCCAGCCGCCGCAGUAA
rnacentral:rRNA from 1 species